rnacentral:rRNA from 1 species
AUUGAACGCUGGCGGCAUGCCUAACACAUGCAAGUCGAGCGGAGCGGCGGACGGGUGAGUAAUGCCUAGGUAUCUGCCUUGUAGUGGGGGAUAACGUCCGGUAACGGACGCUAAUCCCGCAUACUUUCAGAUGAGCCUUGGUCGGAUUAGCUCGUUGGUGGGGUAAAGGCCUACCAAGGCGACGAUCCGUAACUGGUCUGAGAGGAUGAUCAGUCACACUGGAACUGAGACACGGUCCAGACUCCUACGGGAGGCAGCAGUGGGGAAUAUUGGGCAAUGGGCGAAAGCCUGAUCCAGCAAUGCCGCGGGAGUGAAGAAGGUCUUCGGAUUGUAAAGCACUUUAAGUUGGGAGGCGUUACCAACAGAAUAAGCACCGGCUAACUUCGUGCCAGCAGCCGCGGUAAUAC